UUCAUUUGCAUUCUGGCCUUGCCUGCAGGUGCAGUUGGAAACUCUUGCUAAGUGAUAGAGAGGCUUUGGAAAGCCUGGGAUCAGGAAGCUGAAAGAGCUGGAAAACUGCAUUUGGAGGUUCAAACUAAAGCAGGAUUGCAUCUGGAAGUGAUUUGUAACAGAAGAAAUGGAGUAGAAUACAGGCAGCACUUGCAGCACUGCUUUCAAAAUUCCUCAGUAUUUCUAGAGGAGUUUUGAACAACAACCUAUUCAAGAAACUUGGUGCUCAAAAUUUCCUGGGCUGGAGGAAAGAUGUCUUGAUGGGGUUAAGGAAUGGGUUUGUGUCCCAAGAAGCUGUUACACUUAAGUAAGUCUUCCAGAGGUGUGGAUGCCUGGCUAAGCAAGCAGCAAGUCUGAACCAGCAAGGAAUGCAGCCCAAGCUUCUGGCUUCAGGCAAUGAAGAGGCUGAUAAGAAAACUCGGGAAUGCAAGUACCAGAGUGCCUGGUGCGCCAGGACAAGGAUAUUGUGAGGAAGCUGCUGCUAUUUUCAUGAUGUUUUCCUUCAGCUGAGGUGCCCUCAGGAGCUCCAGUGCUUGGAUGUCUGCCGAGGGGUUUCUCACUGCAGCUUCUCACAUCAAGUUCUGCUUGGGAACCUGGCUUUUUCUGCCAGCAGAAGUUACUCCGUCUCCCUCAGUCUACAGGCUGACCUCCAAAGAUGCCCAGGGUCUGGAAAUGUGCCUUAUCACAGAUUACUCCCCUGAGAAGCUCACUGUGAACUCGGCUGAGCAGCACACAUCUGCUGUGGUGGGGGUGGCAACUGCAGACAACGGCGAGGAGUCCAGCUACCUGUCCACCUACUGGGCCAGGAGGGAUCAGCUGCACUGUGGGGCCAGCCACGAGGGCUUUGGAGAGCUGGAGGGAGAGGACCCUGAGAGUGGUGCCAGUGCUGUCUGUGUCACGGGGCUGUCCCUACACUUCAGGACAGAUGAACACCUGAACACCCUCUCUUUGUCACAGCUGGGCCUCAAAAUCGUUUUAAUGAAAGCAAUCAUUUUUAAUGUGCUGAUGACAGUGCUUAUGUGGAAGAAAAAAAAAGGACUGAGAGGAGCCAGGUGGAGCAGUCCUGAAGUACCAAACCCAUCUGCUUUGAGAGAGCAUCGUGAGCAAGAGGGAGCUCAGGGAUAUUCCUUGUGCAAGGGACACCCCUUGCUGUUCUCAUACAUCACUCCAGCCAUUAUAUUCUGAAUUGCUUUAUUUGCAUUGCUAUAAAACUACUCAAAAUGAAACAUUUCCAGCAUUCUGCCCUCCAGAUGUCUGGAUCAUUCACCAUACAGUGCCUCUUUUGCAUGAAGCACACUUUGCUAUAAUUGUACGUUGCCAAGUUCUGACUUCCAUUAAAAUGAUGACUUCUGCCUGGAGCAGUGCUGUGUGUUAAAAACUGCAAGCUAAAUACCAUCUGAAUGGGAAUUUGUCCCCUAUUUUGGUAGCUUUAGGAUAUUCAUAUCUCUUAGGGUGCACCCCAGAAGCCUUUUCAGGUGCAAAUGAAACAUUUUGAAAAGCAAAGGGAGACUGACUCCGGAUGCCCUGUCCUGUCACCCUUUGCUAGAUCAGAGCAAGAUAUCCCUUUUUAUCCCUAAAGGAUGAGCUGCAGGUCUCCCAGAAGUCCCAAAUUUAGUGGAAUUGUCACUUCAAUAUCACAGAAACAAAAUUUCAAAGAUUUUUUAAUUCUAUUUGACCACAGCACCUUCUUAAUUUAAACCAGUUUAAGAUUUGGCUUUGUAUUCAGUAAAAAUACAAACCACUUUUGUUCUUUUUGUUUACUUCUAGCAACCUGAGAUCUCCCAAGUCCUUUUUGUAACAAUUGCAUAAAAAUGUACUGAAAUAUUCACCUGCCCACCUUGGAACUCUGCUUGCCUGUGGCAUCUGCAUGCUGCUAAUUCAUGAACUGUCCUGCCACCCACAAGAAGUCUUGGCACUUCUUUAGACUGUUAUCAAACAAUUUUUACCAAAAAUGA